UACAUAAAGUACAGUAUAGUUUUCAUAUUAAAAAUAGGUUGGUUAAAAGGGAAACAGGUGCGAUUCCUGUACGAUCUCGUCACUGUGAUUAGGGAGUGCAGAUUCCAAAGAUAAGUCACUGAUGUACUUUGCAGUAUGUUGGGAAGGCGGAAUCUGUGUGAUGAUCUUUCAGCCAGGAAACCUGCCAGUUGUCUGGUACAGGGA
rnacentral:ncRNA from 17 species